rnacentral:lncRNA from 1 species
AUGGUGCCAGCAACCCCGCCUCACUGUGCCCCCUCUGGUCCUCAGAGUCUCUUCAGUCUGGAGAGCCACUUGUGGAGCCCAGCGUCCUGCGCUCAGCCCACAAGCCACAUGUGGCUCCACUCACUGUCCCUGUUGACUCAACCCGCCUCUUCCUCCCCGGCUCCUCAGGAAGCAGAGCCCUGCCUGGCAACAGUUGCCAUGGGGAGAGACUUCUUCAACAGCAUCAGAGGCCUCACUAAUACAGCUGGAAUAUUCAAAUUUGGCCAGCAUAAGACUCAGGCACGACGGCUGGAGUUCAAUAGCUGCAUUGCAGCCCGAGGUGACACCAGGAGUGUAACCCACGUCUAUGACAGAAAAGCACGGAGUGGCCUUUAGAGGAUCCCUAUCCCAGCCCAAACCAGCAAACAAUGGCCUUUUGUGAGUGACAAAGCCAACUCACAAGCGGCACUCAAGCCAGAGCAAUUCUUGCCUGACACUGAUAACCUGAUUGGGGAAACGGACCCGUCAGGUGGUCUGUGCGUUGAGGUCGCCCUGCACUGUGUUCCUCUAUGUUAUUUGGGCCUUUGAGCUUGGUUUAUUUAUUUCCUUUUGGUGCUGGGAAUUCAGGCCAAUCCGGGCCUUGCACGUAGCUCUCCCACUGAGCUGCACCCCCUGCCUAUCACGCUCAGGUUAGCAAAAAGAAGACUGUGGGCUCCUGUAACUGCGACCUAAAGUGAGGACCACGCUGGCGCCCGCUGACUUAGGACGCAGGCCUCCUCUGUUCCCGGAGGGCCCCCGCUGUCAGGCUGGCCUCUGGCGGUGAGCUGGGGGCAGUGUUCCCAUCCCCCUUUCCACCCAUGUCACCUCACUCCCCGGAAGAGGGGAGAUCCCUUUUCUGGAAGCAGCCCGGGGUGUCGUGGCCUGCCCUGGAGGGCGGAAGGGUGCAGGUCUGAGCCGGUCUCCAGGGGGCAGGAGCAUGGGAUAGAAUGGUGGGUCUGAUUGGUGCCAGCCGGAAUCUGCCCCUCGGACAGAGGUGGAGUCUGUCCCGCAAACACAGUGCGGCUGGAAACACGGGUGGGGGUGUCGUCAGAAAGCACCAACAAGCGUGUGGAUUUGGAGGAGGAGGUCUAGGAAAACAUAAGGUGUGGGACAG